rnacentral:rRNA from 1 species
CCAAUAGCGUAUAUUAGUGUUGUUGCGGUUAAAAAGCUCGUAGUUGAAUUUCGGGAUUGGGAUAUAUCGGUCGUGCCUUUAGGGGCAUGAAACGGUGUGUAGCCAAUUUCUCACCUUCUGGUGAGUCGGGAUGCUCUUGGGUGUUUCGAUGAACCCGGACAUUUACUUUGAAAAAAUUAGAGCGUUUAAAGCGGGCAUUUUUGCUUGAAUACAUUAGCAUGGAAUAAUAAAAUAGGACGAUGGUUCUAUUUUGUUGGUUUUAGGACUACGUAAUGAUUAAUAGGGAUAGUUGGGGGCAUUAGUAUUCAAUUGUCAGAGGUGAAAUUCUUGGAUUUAUUGAGGACUAACUACUGCGAAAGCAUUUGCCAAGGAUGUUUUCAUUAAUCAAGAACGAAAGUUAGGGGAUCAAAGACGAUUUAUGUACGUCGUAGUCUUAACCAUAAACUAUGCCGACUAGGAAUCAGACAAAGUUCAUUUUUUAACGACUUGUUUGGUACCUUACG